AUUCCAGCUCCAAUAGCGUAUAUUUAAGUUGCUGCAGUUAAAAAGCUCGUAGUUGGAUUUCGGAUGGGAUUUGCCGGUCCGCCGUUCCGGUGUGCACUGGCCAGUCUCAUCUUGUUGUUGGGGACUAGCUCCUGGGCUUCACUGUCCGGGACUAGGAGCUGACGAGGUUACUUUGAGUAAAUUAGAGUGUUCAAAGCAAGCCUACGCUCUGAAUACAUUAGCAUGGAAUAACAUGAUAGGACUCUGGCUUAUCUUGUUGGUCUGUGAGACCAGAGUAAUGAUUAAGAGGGACAGUCGGGGACAUUCGUAUUUCAUUGUCAGAGGUGAAAUUCUUGGAUUUAUGAAAGACGAACUUCUGCGAAAGCAUUUGUCAAGGAUGUUUUCAUUA
rnacentral:rRNA from 1 species